rfam:Paenibacillus pini JCM 16418 DNA, contig: contig: contig00066.
GGAGGCUUAGCUCAGCUGGGAGAGCAUCUGCCUUACAAGCAGAGGGUCGGGGGUUCGAUCCCCUCAGCCUCCA